AUUGAACGCUGGCGGCAUGCCUUACACAUGCAAGUCGAACGGCAGCACGGAGCUUGCUCUGGUGGCGAGUGGCGAACGGGUGAGUAAUAUAUCGGAACGUACCCUAGAGUGGGGGAUAACGUAGCGAAAGUUACGCUAAUACCGCAUACGAUCUAUGGAUGAAAGUGGGGGAUCGCAAGACCUCAUGCUCGUGGAGCGGCCGAUAUCUGAUUAGCUAGUUGGUAGGGUAAAAGCCUACCAAGGCAUCGAUCAGUAGCUGGUCUGAGAGGACGACCAGCCACACUGGAACUGAGACACGGUCCAGACUCCUACGGGAGGCAGCAGUGGGGAAUUUUGGACAAUGGGCGAAAGCCUGAUCCAGCAAUGCCGCGUGAGUGAAGAAGGCCUUCGGGUUGUAAAGCUCUUUUGUCAGGGAAGAAACGGUGAAAGCUAAUAUCUUUUGCUAAUGACGGUACCUGAAGAAUAAGCACCGGCUAACUACGUGCCAGCAGCCGCGGUAAUACGUAGGGUGCAAGCGUUAAUCGGAAUUACUGGGCGUAAAGCGUGCGCAGGCGGUUUUGUAAGUCUGAUGUGGAAUCCCCGGGCUCAACCUGGGAAUUGCAUUGGAGACUGCAAGGCUAGAAUCUGGCAGAGGGGGGUAGAAUUCCACGUGUAGCAGUGAAAUGCGUAGAUAUGUGGAGGAACACCGAUGGCGAAGGCAGCCCCCUGGGUCAAGAUUGACGCUCAUGCACGAAAGCGUGGGGAGCAAACAGGAUUAGAUACCCUGGUAGUCCACGCCCUAAACGAUGUCUACUAGUUGUCGGGUCUUAAUUGACUUGGUAACGCAGCUAACGCGUGAAGUAGACCGCCUGGGGAGUACGGUCGCAAGAUUAAAACUCAAAGGAAUUGACGGGGACCCGCACAAGCGGUGGAUGAUGUGGAUUAAUUCGAUGCAACGCGAAAAACCUUACCUACCCUUGACAUGGCUGGAAUCCCGGAGAGAUUUGGGAGUGCUCGAAAGAGAACCAGUACACAGGUGCUGCGUGGCUGUCGUCAGCUCGUGUCGUGAGAUGUUGGGUUAAGUCCCGCAACGAGCGCAACCCUUGUCAUUAGUUGCUACGAAAGGGCACUCUAAUGAGACUGCCGGUGACAAACCGGAGGAAGGUGGGGAUGACGUCAAGUCCUCAUGGCCCUUAUGGGUAGGGCUUCACACGUCAUACAAUGGUACAUACAGAGCGCCGCCAACCCGCGAGGGGGAGCUAAUCGCAGAAAGUGUAUCGUAGUCCGGAUUGUAGUCUGCAACUCGACUGCAUGAAGUUGGAAUCGCUAGUAAUCGCGGAUCAGCAUGUCGCGGUGAAUACGUUCCCGGGUCU
rnacentral:rRNA from 1 species